GGCCGACUAGCUCAGUUGGUUAGAGCGUCGUGCUAAUACGGAUGUUGCGAGCGCACUGCUUACCCUGUGCGCUUGCAAUGUCUGUUCAACGCGAAGGUCUUGGGUUCGAUCCCCACGUUGGCCA
rfam:Gymnopus luxurians FD-317 M1 unplaced genomic scaffold GYMLTscaffold_40, whole genome shotgun sequence.